rnacentral:rRNA from 1 species
UGCCAGUGAUAAACUGGAGGAAGGUGGGGAUGACGUCAAGUCAUCAUGGCCCUUACGACCAGGGCUACACACGUGCUACAAUGGCGCAUACAAAGAGAAGCGACCUCGCGAGAGCAAGCGGACCUCAUAAAGUGCGUCGUAGUCCGGAUUGGAGUCUGCAACUCGACUCCAUGAAGUCGGAAUCGCUAGUAAUCGUGGAUCAGAAUGCCACGGUGAAUACGUUCCCGGGCCUUGUACACACCGCCCGUCACACCAUGGGAGUGGGUUGCAAAAGAAGUAGGUAGCUUAACCUUCGGGAGGGCGCUUACCACUUUGUGAUUCAUGACUGGGGUGAAGUCGUAACAAGGUAACCGUAGGGGAACCUGCGG